AUGGUUUGGGGUUUUUUUGUGUGUGUUUUGUUUGUGUGUGUGUGAUUAUUUGCAGGUGAGCAUUCAACAGACAAUGCCGUCUCUAACAAUGAGAUAGACCUACCUAAGAUUCUAGGUAAUUGUUAAGAAACCAUGGUAAUCCUCAUAAUGAUCAUUAAAAGGAUUUUGUUUGUAUCCAGGUAAGUGAUAAUGAUAGCCUUUUCCAUGCUAUAGGCCAUCUAAUAUUCAGGUAUUUAGGUACGUAUGGAUAGUGCUCCUAACCUUGUGUUGCUAUGUUGCUAUCAAAUCUACAGCUAUCGUUAGUUGAAAAUCAUCUCUUGAUUUGUGUUUUUGCAAAUAUCCACUCAAGAGGAGAUCAUGUCUCUAUUCAAAGUCUUGUCCCUGGAUUUUUGCAAGUAUCUGGAUAGGUUUUAUGGUUCCCUUUAAGUCUGCAGUAUUCAGUAGAUUUUCAGGGGCCCAUGUUAUGAAUUAUCGUUAAACACUGUUCUCUCUUUGGCUUUUGUAGAUUCCAGUUAAGAGAUUGUUGAUGAGAACCUCCGUGCGUAUUGAAGGCAAAAUUUUAUUUGCACCAAGUACAAGAUAAUCCAUUUGUACUAAAGUUAGAGCUCAUGAGAUUUUGUACAUACCCAGGUAGACAAUGUUGGUGUUCUGAAGCCAACAUAGUGGCCAUAUUUACUUGCAUUUAUGUCCAGAUAAGAGAUGAUGGUGCCCUGAAACAAGAUAAUGACCUUGAGAUUUUGCAGUUAUUCAAGCAAGAGAUGACCUAUCCCUACUGUGAUCUCGAUCCUGCACCUUUCUAGGUAUUCAGAUUUUUUAGAUAUUCUGGGAAAAGAUGAUGGUGUUCUGACAAUACAGAUGACCGUAGGAUUUUGCACAUAUCCAGUCAAGAGAUGAUGGCAUAUCUAUCAACAUUGGUGUUUGUGGAAAAGAAAGAAAUGGAAUGCUUUUUUUGAUCAGUUGUAUAAUUUGUUAAAAGAAUUUUAACAUUCAAUGACUAGUAAAUAUUAUUCAUGGUCGUAUUUUCUUGUAUCUGUUUGUUUAUUCAAUUUCUCCAUAUUGACAUCUGCACCAGGAAUCUUAG
rnacentral:lncRNA from 12 species